rnacentral:rRNA from 1 species
GACGAACGCUGGCGGCGUGCUUAACACAUGCAAGUCGAGCGGUAAGGCCCUUUCGGGGGUACACGAGCGGCGAACGGGUGAGUAACACGUGGGUGACCUGCCCUCAGCUCUGGGAUAAGCCUGGGAAACCGGGUCUAAUACCGGAUAUGACUCCAUGACGCAUGUUGUGGGGUGAAAGCCUUGUGCGGCUGAGGAUGGGCCCGCGGCCUAUCAGCUUGUUGGUGGGGUGAUGGCCUACCAAGGCGACGACGGGUAGCCGGCCUGAGAGGGCGACCGGGCCACACUGGGACUGAGACACGGCCCAGACUCCUACGGGAGGCAGCAGUGGGGAAUCUUGCGUCAAUGGGCGAAAGCCUGACGCAGCGACGCCGCGUGAGGAUGACGGCCU